rnacentral:rRNA from 1 species
CUCUAUUGAGUUUGAUCCUGGCUCAGAUUGAACGCUGGCGGCAUGCCUUACACAUACAAGUCGAACGGCAGCACGGGUGCUUGCACCUGGUGGCGAGUGGCGAACGGGUGAGUAAUACAUCGGAACAUGUCCUGUAGUGGGGGAUAGCCCGGCGAAAGCCGGAUUAAUACCGCAUACGAUCUACGGAUGAAAGCGGGGGACCUUCGGGCCUCGCGCUAUAGGGUUGGCCGAUGGCUGAUUAGCUAGUUGGUGGGGUAAAGGCCUACCAAGGCGACGAUCAGUAGCUGGUCUGAGAGGACGACCAGCCACACUGGGACUGAGACACGGCCCAGACUCCUACGGGAGGCAGCAGUGGGGAAUUUUGGACAAUGGGCGAAAGCCUGAUCCAGCAAUGCCGCGUGUGUGAAGAAGGCCUUCGGGUUGUAAAGCACUUUUGUCCGGAAAGAAAUCCUUGGCUCUAAUACAGUCGGGGGAUGACGGUACCGGAAGAAUAAGCACCGGCUAACUACGUGCCAGCAGCCGCGGUAAUACGUAGGGUGCGAGCGUUAAUCGGAAUUACUGGGCGUAAAGCGUGCGCAGGCGGUUUGCUAAGACCGAUGUGAAAUCCCCGGGUUCAACCUGGGAACUGCAUUGGUGACUGGCAGGCUAGAGUAUGGCAGAGGGGGGUAGAAUUCCACGUGUAGCAGUGAAAUGCGUAGAGAUGUGGAGGAAUACCGAUGGCGAAAGGCAGCCCCCUGGGCCAAUACUGACGCUCAUGCACGAAAGCGUGGGGAGCAAACAGGAUUAGAUACCCUGGUAGUCCACGCCCUAAACGAUGUCAACUAGUUGUUGGGGAUUCAUUUCCUUAGUAACGUAGCUAACGCGUGAAGUUGACCGCCUGGGGAGUACGGUCGCAAGAUUAAAACUCAAAGGAAUUGACGGGGACCCGCACAAGCGGUGGAUGAUGUGGAUUAAUUCGAUGCAACGCGAAAAACCUUACCUACCCUUGACAUGGUCGGAAUCCCGCUGAGAGGUGGGAGUGCUCGAAAGAGAACCGGCGCACAGGUGCUGCAUGGCUGUCGUCAGCUCGUAUCGUGAGAUGUUGGGUUAAGUCCCGCAACGAGCGCAACCCUUGUCCUUAGUUGCUACGCAAGAGCACUCUAAGGAGACUGCCGGUGACAAACCGGAGGAAGGUGGGGAUGACGUCAAGUCCUCAUGGCCCUUAUGGGUAGGGCUUCACACGUCAUACAAUGGUCGGAACAGAGGGUUGCCAACCCGCGAGGGGGAGCUAAUCCCAGAAAACCGAUCGUAGUCCGGAUUGCACUCUGCAACUCGAGUGCAUGAAGCUGGAAUCGCUAGUAAUCGCGGAUCAGCAUGCCGCGGUGAAUACGUUCCCGGGUCUUGUACGCACCGCCCGUCACACCAUGGGAGUGGGUUUUACCAGAAGUGGCUAGUCUAACCGCAAGGAGGACGGUCACCACGGUAGGAUUCAUGACUGGGGUGAAGUCGUAACAAGGUAA